CGGCGUUCCUCCACCCGUACUUCUCGCUGUUGACCUCAGAUCAGACGAGGCUACCCGCCUAACUUAAGCAUAUCGUUAAGCGGAGGAAGAAACUAA
rnacentral:rRNA from 1 species